rnacentral:rRNA from 1 species
AGAGUUUGAUCAUGGCUCAGAACGUACGCUGGCGGCACGCCUAACACAUGCAAGUCGAACGAAGUAGCAAUACUUAGUGGCAGACGGGUGAGUAACAUGUGGGUAUCUGCCCUUUGGCCUGGAAUAACACGAGGAAACUUGUGCUAAUACCGGAUAAGUCUUUACGGAGAAAGCUUUAUGCACCAUUGGAUGAGCCCGCACUUGAUUAGUUUGUUGGUGGGGUAAUGGCCUACCAAGACUGUGAUCAAUAGCUGAUUUGAGAGGAUGAUCAGCCACAUUGGGACUGAGACACGGCCCAAACUCCUACGGGAGGCAGCAGUGGGGAAUCUUGCACAAUGGAGGAAACUCUGAUGCAGCGAUGCCGCGUGAGUGAAGAAGGCCUUUGGGUUGUAAAGCUCUUUCGUCGGGGAAGAAAAUGACUGUACCCGAAUAAGAAGGUCCGGCUAACUUCGUGCCAGCAGCCGCGGUAAUACGAAGGGACCUAGCGUAGUUCGGAAUUACUGGGCUUAAAGAGUUCGUAGGUGGUUGAAAAAGUUGGUGGUGAAAUCCCAGAGCUUAACUCUGGAACUGCCAUCAAAACUUUUCAGCUAGAGUUUGAUAGAGGAAAGCAGAAUUUCUAGUGUAGAGGUGAAAUUCGUAGAUAUUAGAAAGAAUACCAAUUGCGAAGGCAGCUUUUCUGGAUCAUUACUGACACUGAGGAACGAAAGCAUGGGUAGCGAAGAGGAUUAGAUACCCUCGUAGUCCAUGCCGUAAACGAUGUGUGUUAGACGUUGGAAAUUUAUUUUCAGUGUCGCAGCGAAAGCGAUAAACACACCGCCUGGGGAGUACGACCGCAAGGUUAAAACUCAAAUGAAUUGACGGGGACCCGCACAAGUAGUGGAGCAUGUGGUUUAAUUCGAAGAUACGCGCAGAACCUUACCAACACUUGACAUGUUCGUCGCGACUUUAAGAGAUUAAAGUUUUCGGUUCGGCCGGACGAAACACAGGUGCUGCAUGGCUGUCGUCAGCUCGUGUCGUGAGAUGUUGGGUUAAGUCCCGCAACGAGCGCAACCCUCACUUUUAGUUGCCAUCAUUUAGUUGGGCACUCUGAAAGAACUGCCAGUGAUAAGCUGGAGGAAGGUGGGGAUGACGUCAAGUCCUCAUGGCCCUUACGUGUUGGGCUACACACGUGCUACAAUGGUAUCUACAACAGGAAGCAAAACAGCGAUGUUAAGCAAAUCCUUAAAAGAUACCUCAGUUCGGAUUGCACUCUGCAACUCGAGUGCAUGAAGCUGGAAUUACUAGUAAUCGUGGAUCAGCGUGCCACGGUGAAUGCGUUCCCGGGUCUUGUACACACCGCCCGUCACACCAUGGGAGUUGGUUCUACCUUAAGGCAAGGUUUAAUACCCUUGACCACGGUAUAGUCAGCGACUGGGGUGAAGUCGUAACAAGGUA